rnacentral:rRNA from 1 species
UACGUAGGGUGCGAGCGUUGUCCGGAAUUAUUGGGCGUAAAGAGCUCGUAGGCGGUUUGUCGCGUCGACUGUGAAAACCUACAGCUUAACUGUGGGCUUGCAGUCGAUACGGGCAGACUUGAGUUCGGUAGGGGAGACUGGAAUUCCUGGUGUAGCGGUGAAAUGCGCAGAUAUCAGGAGGAACACCGGUGGCGAAGGCGGGUCUCUGGGCCGAUACUGACACUGAGGAGCGAAAGCGUGGGGAGCGAACAGG